ensembl:lncRNA
AUGCCGCGUUUGUGGAACACACUGAUUAGCACCGCUGAGGGAGGCGGGCUGCUCCCUGCAGGAGAACGUGAUGGUGUCUCUGGCCAACGCGCGCCUUCUGCUUCCUGUGUUCCAGCUGGAGAGGAGGAAGUGGCAGCUGGAGAGGAGGAAGUGGCAGCUGAGGAGGCCGGCGAAGAGGAGGCUGCCGCUGAUGGCGAAGGAGAGACCGUAGCCGAGGUCGUGGCCGAGGUUGCAGAGGUCGUCGCUGAGGCGGCGGAGGAGGUCGCCGAGGCGGCAGAGGAAGUUACAGAGGUCGCUCGUGAAGUGGAGGCGGUCGCGGGAGAGGUGGCUAAGGCGGCCGAAGCCGCCCCCCAAGCCGCCGCAGAACCAGCCGCCGAGGAGCCCGACAGCAACGUGCCGCUGGCUGCUGCUUCUGCUCUAGAAGUACCAAAGAUCAUUGAAGUGACGGAAGAGUUAGCCGCAGCCAUUCAGGACAUCGAUGAGUCCCUUGCACAAGUUGAGGAGGCUACCAAGCCAGCAGAAGAGUCCCCAGCACCAGUAGAGCCUGCACCAGUUGAAGACACCACAGCACCAGUAGAGGUUGCACCAGUUGAAGAGGCCCCAGCACCAGUAGAGGCUGCACCAGUUGUUGAAGAGGCCCCGGCACCAGUAGAGGCUGCACCAGUUGUUGAGGAAGUCUUGGUACCAUCUGAACCUGAAGUUACCACAGCACUUGCUGAGGAACCAGUCACCACCGCAGUUGAUGAAGAGGCUCUGGCAACCAUCGCUGCAGAAGUAGCGACCCCUAUGGUGGUUGAAGAAGCGGCUACUGAGACCCUUGCAGAAGCUCCGAAGAGAGAGUACAUUGUUGUGGUCCUGGAAGGAACACCUAAAGCUGAUAAGUCACCCAAGGUGCUUGGAGUGGAGUCCAUGACUGGUAGAAUCAUCCCAACUCCAGACGACGACGUCUCUGCUUCUGAGGUAUCGGAUAAUCCGAUUUUUUUGGGAGUAACCUCAGAUAGGACAUAUGAUAAAAAAAAACAUGGAUUAAUCUAUCUUUCAGUAUUGCAGUGUUUUGAGAAAGGGUUUAAAGAACAGUUAUUAUCAGAAUGCUCUUAA